UACGUAGGGUGCAAGCGUUGUCCGGAAUUAUUGGGCGUAAAGAGCUCGUAGGCGGUCUGUCGCGUCUGCUGUGAAAACUCGGGGGCUUAACCCCGGGCCUGCAGUGGGUACGGGCAGACUAGAGUGCGGUAGGGGGAGACUGGAAUUCCUGGUGUAGCGGUGAAAUGCGCAGAUAUCAGGAGGAACACCGGGUGGCGAAGGCGGGGUCUCUGGGCCGUAACUGACGCUGAGGAGCGAAAGCGUGGGGGAGC
rnacentral:rRNA from 1 species